UACGUAGGGUGCGAGCGUUAAUCGGAAUUACUGGGCGUAAAGCGUGCGCAGGCGGUUUCACGCGCUCGAUGUGAAAGCCCCGGGCUUAACCUGGGAAUGGCAUUGAGGACGGUGGAGCUAGAGUGCGGCAGAGGGAGGUGGAAUUCCACGUGUAGCAGUGAAAUGCGUAGAGAUGUGGAGGAACACCGAUGGCGAAGGCAGCCUCCUGGGCCGACACUGACGCUCAUGCACGAAAGCGUGGGGAGCAAACAGG
rnacentral:rRNA from 1 species